UCCGCUAUGGCGCAGUUGGACAGCGCACAUCGCAUUACCAGCGGUGAGGUCCAAGGUUCGAGUCCUUGUGGUGGAA
rnacentral:tRNA from 2 species